UACGUAGGGGGCAAGCGUUGUCCGGAAUUAUUGGGCGUAAAGAGCGCGUAGGCGGUCCGGUAAGUCGGCUGUGAAAGUCAAGGGCUCAACCCUUGAAAGCCGGCCGAUACUGUCGGACUAGAGUCCGGAAGAGGCGAGUGGAAUUCCCGGUGUAGCGGUGAAAUGCGCAGAUAUCGGGAAGAACACCCGUGGCUAAGGCGGCUCUCUAGUACGGUACUGACGCUGAGGCGCGAAAGCGUGGGGAGCGAACAGG
rnacentral:rRNA from 1 species